GCGAUUAAAUUUAUCUGUUUCAUAUAUAUAUAUAUUUAUAUAUAUAUGAGUCCAGCUAUGGUGCUUGUAAAAGCACCAAGCACUUGGUAAUUAUAAGUUUUUUACCGUUAGAUCUAUUCCUCGGAUUAUUUUCAACCAUUAGAUUAUACUAUUCAACCAACCACCCACUCAACUCUAAGGGGCCCACAUCAUUCUAACCAUAUAUUUCUUAAUCCAAUGGCUAAAAAUCUACAAGCAUCAAUAACUUGGUAUUUUUAAAAGCAUAGGAGCUCAAUUCUAUAUAUAUAUAGAGAGAGAGAGAGAGACAGAGUGAGUCCGGUUUUUCAACCAACUAACCACUCAACCCUAGGGGGCCCACAUCAUCCUAACUGCACAUCCCUUAAUUCAAGGGCAGAAAACUUACAAGCACCAAUGACUUGGUACUUUUAAAAACAUAGAAGCUCAAUUUUAUAUAUAUAUAUAUAUAUAUAUAUAUAUAUAUAUACAUAGAGAGAGAGAGAGAGAGAGAGGCUGGUAUACUAUAGGUAGCACGGAGGCCUCCGUGCUACCAAGUUGUUUUCAAUGAUGCGGCUUCCAAAUUGACGAUCGGCUCCGUUAGAUUUGAUCUACACUAUUAAAAGUAUUUGGAAAUUAAAUUUUAUAAUUUUUUGACAUCAUUUGGCUAGUGAUCAAAAAGUCUCAAAAUUGACAAUUUUAAUGGUAGAUUUGAUGCGUUUGUGAAUUUAACGGUGUAAAACAAUCUAAAUUGGAUGAAAUUUUAAUAUAAAAUUCUUUUCACUAUUUAGAGUAAGAUCAGUACCUCUGAUCUUAAAUUCAAGUCUUUUAUCAUCAUUUUUUAUGAAAUUUUUAUUUUCAGCCGUUCAUUUUUAGACUACUUGUUUGAUAGGUAAAUGAUGCCGAAAAAUUAUGAAAUGUAAUUUCCAAAUACUUUCAAUAAUAUAGAUCAAGUCUAACGGAGCCGAUCGUCGAUUUGGAAGCCGCAUCAUCGAAAACAACUUGGUAGCACGGAGGCCUCCGUGCUACCGAUAGUAUACCAGCCUAACUCUCUCUCUCUCUCUCUCUCUCUCUCUCUCUCUCUCUCUCUCUAUAUAUAUAUAUAUAUAUAUAUAUAUAUAUAUAUAUUCUACAUAGUGCAUUAGUUCCCUUAAAAUAAUUUAAAAAGAAAAUAUUAUAAAAUUUUCUUGUCAAUAAUUAGACUUAGGCUUCGUUUGAGAUUGCGGGGAGAUUGCGUUACGUGCGGUGAGAAACAACGAUAGGAAAAUACCAUGUUUGUUUCCGUACGUAAUAUUGCGUUCCGCAUAUUGCAAUUAGUCGGUUACGAUAUAUUUUCUGCGGUCCCACUGGAAAACGCAGAAUCAUAUCCCAAUAUUCUUUUUCUCAACUCCAUUUUAUCUAAUAGCGUUAGAUACAUCUCAAUGCCAAACUAAGUCUUAGUAGAGUAAUUGAUAUCAUUACUCAAUAUUUGCAAAAAAGAA
rnacentral:lncRNA from 1 species